GGAAGUAUACCCAAGUCUGGUUGAAGGGGGCGGUCUCGAAAACCGUUAGGUGGAGCAAUUCACGCAAGAGUUCGAAUCUCUUUACUUCCGCCA
rnacentral:tRNA from 1 species